rnacentral:rRNA from 1 species
UACGUAGGGUGCGAGCGUUGUCCGGAAUUAUUGGGCGUAAAGAGCUCGUAGGCGGUGUGUCACGUCGGCCGUGAAAACCUGGGGCUUAACUCUGGGCGUGCGGUCGAUACGGGCAUCACUAGAGUUCGGCAGGGGAGACUGGAAUUCCUGGUGUAGCGGUGAAAUGCGCAGAUAUCAGGAGGAACACCGGUGGCGAAGGCGGGUCUCUGGGCCGUAACUGACGCUGAGGAGCGAAAGCAUGGGGAGCGAACAGG